GCGGACGGGUGAGUAACACGUGGGUAACCUGCCUGUAAGACUGGGAUAACUCCGGGAAACCGGGGCUAAUACCGGAUGGUUGUUUGAACCGCAUGGUUCAAACAUAAAAGGUGGCUUCGGCUACCACUUACAGAUGGACCCGCGGCGCAUUAGCUAGUUGGUGAGGUAACGGCUCACCAAGGCAACGAUGCGUAGCCGACCUGAGAGGGUGAUCGGCCACACUGGGACUGAGACACGGCCCAGACUCCUACGGGAGGCAGCAGUAGGGAAUCUUCCGCAAUGGACGAAAGUCUGACGGAGCAACGCCGCGUGAGUGAUGAAGGUUUUCGGAUCGUAAAGCUCUGUUGUUAGGGAAGAACAAGUACCGUUCGAAUAGGGCGGUACCUUGACGGUACCUAACCAGAAAGCCACGGCUAACUACGUGCCAGCAGCCGCGGUAAUACGUAGGUGGCAAGCGUUGUCCGGAAUUAUUGGGCGUAAAGGGCUCGCAGGCGGUUUCUUAAGUCUGAUGUGAAAGCCCCCGGCUCAACCGGGGAGGGUCAUUGGAAACUGGGGAACUUGAGUGCAGAAGAGGAGAGUGGAAUUCCACGUGUAGCGGUGAAAUGCGUAGAGAUGUGGAGGAACACCAGUGGCGAAGGCGACUCUCUGGUCUGUAACUGACGCUGAGGAGCGAAAGCGUGGGGAGCGAACAGGAUUAGAUACCCUGGUAGUCCACGCCGUAAACGAUGAGUGCUAAGUGUUAGGGGGUUUCCGCCCCUUACUGCUGCAGCUAACGCAUUAAGCACUCCGCCUGGGGAGUACGGUCGCAAGACUGAAACUCAAGGAAUUGACGGGGGCCCGCACAAGCGGUGGAACAUGUGGUUUAUUUCGAUCAA
rnacentral:rRNA from 1 species